AUGAACGCUAGCUACAGGCUUAACACAUGCAAGUCGAGGGGCAGCAUGGUCUUAGCUUGCUAAGGCCGAUGGCGACCGGCGCACGGGUGAGUAACACGUAUCCAACCUGCCGUCUACUCUUGGACAGCCUUCUGAAAGGAAGAUUAAUACAAGAUGGCAUCAUGAGUCCACAUGUUCACAUGAUUAAAGGUAUUCCGGUAGACGAUGGGGAUGCGUUCCAUUAGAUAGUAGGCGGGGUAACGGCCCACCUAGUCUUCGAUGGAUAGGGGUUCUGAGAGGAAGGUCCCCCACAUUGGAACUGAGACACGGUCCAAACUCCUACGGGAGGCAGCAGUGAGGAAUAUUGGUCAAUGGGCGAGAGCCUGAACCAGCCAAGUAGCGUGAAGGAUGACUGCCCUAUGGGUUGUAAACUUCUUUUAUAAAGGAAUAAAGUCGGGUAUGGAUACCCGUUUGCAUGUACUUUAUGAAUAAGGAUCGGCUAACUCCGUGCCAGCAGCCGCGGUAAUACGGAGGAUCCGAGCGUUAUCCGGAUUUAUUGGGUUUAAAGGGAGCGUAGAUGGAUGUUUAAGUCAGUUGUGAAAGUUUGCGGCUCAACCGUAAAAUUGCAGUUGAUACUGGAUAUCUUGAGUGCAGUUGAGGCAGGCGGAAUUCGUGGUGUAGCGGUGAAAUGCUUAGAUAUCACGAAGAACUCCGAUUGCGAAGGCAGCCUGCUAAGCUGCAACUGACAUUGAGGCUCGAAAGUGUGGGUAUCAAACAGGAUUAGAUACCCUGGUAGGCCACACGGUAAACGAUGAAUACUCGCUGUUUGCGAUAUACAGCAAGCGGCCAAGCGAAAGCGUUAAGUAUUCCACCUGGGGAGUACGCCGGCAACGGUGAAACUCAAAGGAAUUGACGGGGGCCCGCACAAGCGGAGGAACAUGUGGUUUAAUUCGAUGAUACGCGAGGAACCUUACCCGGGCUUAAAUUGCAGAUGAAUUACGGUGAAAGCCGUAAGCCGCAAGGCAUCUGUGAAGGUGCUGCAUGGUUGUCGUCAGCUCGUGCCGUGAGGUGUCGGCUUAAGUGCCAUAACGAGCGCAACCCUUGUUGUCAGUUACUAACAGGUUCCGCUGAGGACUCUGACAAGACUGCCAUCGUAAGAUGUGAGGAAGGUGGGGAUGACGUCAAAUCAGCACGGCCCUUACGUCCGGGGCUACACACGUGUUACAAUGGGGGGUACAGAGGGCCGCUACCACGCGAGUGGAUGCCAAUCCCAAAAACCUCUCUCAGUUCGGACUGGAGUCUGCAACCCGACUCCACGAAGCUGGAUUCGCUAGUAAUCGCGCAUCAGCCACGGCGCGGUGAAUACGUUCCCGGGCCUUGUACACACCGCCCGUCAAGCCAUGGGAGCCGGGGGUACCUGAAGUGCGUAACCGCGAGGAGCGCCCUAGGGUAAAACUGGUGACUGGGGCU
rnacentral:rRNA from 1 species